UGCAGUCGAGCGGUAACAGGGGUAGCUUGCUACCCGCUGACGAGCGGCGGACGGGUGAGUAAUGCAUGGGUAUCUGCCCGGUAGUGGGGGAUAACUCGGGGAAACCCGAGCUAAUACCGCAUACGUCCUACGGGAGAAAGCAGGGGAUCUUCGGACCUUGCGCUAUCGGAUGAGCCCAUGUCGGAUUAGCUUGUUGGUGAGGUAACGGCUCACCAAGGCGACGAUCCGUAGCUGGUCUGAGAGGAUGAUCAGCCACACCGGGACUGAGACACGGCCCGGACUCCUACGGGAGGCAGCAGUGGGGAAUAUUGGACAAUGGGGGAAACCCUGAUCCAGCCAUGCCGCGUGUGUGAAGAAGGCCUUCGGGUUGUAAAGCACUUUCAGUGGGGAAGAAGGCAUGAUGAUUAAUACUCGUCAUGAAGGACAUCACCCACAGAAGAAGCACCGGCUAACUCCGUGCCAGCAGCCGCGGUAAUACGGAGGGUGCAAGCGUUAAUCGGAAUUACUGGGCGUAAAGGGCGCGUAGGCGGCUUGCCAAGCCGGAUGUGAAAGCCCCGGGCUCAACCCGGGAACGGCAUUCGGAACUGGUAGGCUAGAGUGCAGGAGAGGAAGGUGGAAUUCCCGGUGUAGCGGUGAAAUGCGUAGAGAUCGGGAGGAAUACCAGUGGCGAAGGCGGCCUUCUGGACUGACACUGACGCUGAGGCGCGAAAGCGUGGGUAGCAAACAGGAUUAGAUACCCUGGUAGUCCACGCCGUAAACGAUGUCGACCAGCCGUUGGACCCCUUGAGGGUUUGGUGGCGCAGUUAACGCAAUAAGUCGACCGCCUGGGGAGUA
rnacentral:rRNA from 1 species